GGUCCAGGCCAAGCCAGGUGUUUGCUUUCAAACUGGAUCUGUCCGCUCUUUGUAAACCACACUCCACACCGAGGACGGCUCUGCUCCUGAGAUCGCCAGGCACGUUUUGUCUAGGCACCAGGAAAUCAACCAGCCAGGUCUGGUCUGCACGGACUAAGCAGUUAUCAGAGGAUUCAUAGGAAAGAGAAAGCCCUCUAAGGGCAAUAUGAACAUCUCAGUGACAGGUUCCUGACCUGGCCGAUGAUCCACCAAUUCAGAUGAAAGUCGUGCUACACCUGUGUGUUCCAAACCCGGCCGAUCGUCCAAACCAUGUCAGGGUAUUCAAAACAAAACAAAUAGCGCACAUCUAGGACCUCCUGAAUCCCAACCCAGAGACGUGCUCAGUGAUGUGCGUUUUUAAAAAGCUUGACGUGGGAGAAAGAUGGUGAGUGCUCAAGUGACAGUCCUCUAGAAGCAAAACUCAUUUUAACAACGUUGCCAUGGCCAU